AUUGAACGCUGGCGGCAUGCCUUACACAUGCAAGUCGAACGGUAACGCGGGGCAACCUGGCGACGAGUGGCGAACGGGUGAGUAAUGCAUCGGAACGUGCCCAGUAGUGGGGGAUAGCCCGGCGAAAGCCGGAUUAAUACCGCAUACGACCUACGGGUGAAAGGGGGGGAUCGCAAGACCUCUCGCUAUUGGAGCGGCCGAUGUCAGAUUAGGUAGUUGGUGGGGUAAAGGCCUACCAAGCCGACGAUCUGUAGCUGGGCUGAGAGGACGACCAGCCACACUGGGACUGAGACACGGCACAGACUCCUACGGGAGGCAGCAGUGGGGAAUUUUGGACAAUGGGCGCAAGACUGAUCCAGCCAUGCCGCGUGCGGGAAGAAGGCCUUCGGGUUGUAAACCGCUUUUGUCAGGGAAGAAAUCUUCUGGGUUAAUACCUCGGGAGGAUGACGGUACCUGAAGAAUAAGCACCGGCUAACUACGUGCCAGCCGCCGCCGUAACAC
rnacentral:rRNA from 1 species